ACCGGUUGAAAGGGUUAAAAGUAUCCUUUUAAACGGUACUCGAGGUUUACCCUUUGCAAAAGGGUACAUUUUAUCCUUUUAAAAGGGUUAAAACUAUCCGUUCGAUUCACCUCACUGGCAAUACCCUUUCAAAAGGGUAACUCUCUUUGCAACAAGUACCACUAGCGCCGCCCUGGUUUCUAAAUUCGGUACUUAAAUCUGUUUGACGUUUUGGAUCGUGCUCGUGCGUGGUGCGUGUUUUUAAUGUUUUUCCAAGUUUUUCCUAAACUUUUAGAGUUGUUCCUGAAGAUUUUGGCCACUCCGGUGGACCAUGCGCUGCAACUAGUUUCCCGGUACCGAGUCGUCUUCGUAUCCGAUCCAACAGAUGAUCUUAUCUGAUGAUGAAUUGCGUUGCACGCAAGGUUGCCCCCGGUUGUCACGGCUUUAUAGAAGACGCAUCUUGGAGAAAUACGCGAAAAUCGAGGUGAUCUUCAAAGCAAACGGAACGUCCUGAGUUAGACUCGGUUGGCGACCACGACGUCUAACGGCCGAGUGCAAAAAAAAACUUCCGUUGAUUGGCGCUGCUAGAGAUAGCGAAACAGGACCUGCAGAACCAGGGGCAGAAACCGAACCGGAAACGAGCGCAGAACCAGAGCCACCGACCAAACCGGAGCCCGCUACGGAACUAGAACCGGAAAGCACCUGCUUCGGAACCAUCGGUCGAACCAGAGCCGCAUUCUAGGCCCGAGGUGUCUUCCAAACCGGAACCGGAAAGAAGUCAUCUGAGUCGGAACCAAUAGCCGAAAUCACGGCCAAACCCAAACCAAAAACCACCAACACACGUGGACGUGGAUCCCGCGGCACGACUUCAACGCGAUGGACUGCACGAACAUCGUGAU